rnacentral:tRNA from 1 species
GGGCGCGUCGGGGAGAUCGGUCCGUUCCGCAUUGUCUCGGAAAGUGGCGUCUCUGCGGGCGUCCGGCGGAUCGAAGCCGUCUGCGGUCU